CACAUUCCCAUUGUAGCUAAUUCACAGCUGAUCAGAGCAGUGUCCUUUACAGCAGCCUGCUGUAGCUCAACCUAAGAAUCGUUGUUCAAUGUGUGCUGAAUGCAAUGCUGAACAGAGGGUUGUAAUGUGUCAUUAUAUGAGUUGGUUAACUGUGCGGUCUCCAUCCUUGCUACUGUGUAAAACCUGGGGAGGGGGGGGGGCACUCCUACCAUGAUUAGUUACUUGUAUCCCAUGUCUUCUCUAUAACAACAACUAAAUCUCAACCAUGUGUGCAUGCUUUAUACUUGGUACAGAGUUUAAAACGUCAAGUCCUAUGAUUAUAGCCAGACCUUAAAAGUUACUAGCCACUGCAUGCUUGGAGAAUGCAUAGCACAGUCAGUAUGGAUACAUUUCUACCUGCUAAGACUGACUUGUCACUUGCCAUUGGCAAGUAAAAAUAUAAACUCUGCUUUCUAUAAGGCCCCUGGAUAUGUUUAAAAUGGUUUUAUAAUCUCAUGCUGGCAUUUCUUAAAUAACCUGAAGAGGUCAAGUUCUAAUAAUGCUUUUAAAUGUUGUUGUGUUCGUUUCUUCAAUAUAAUUAUAUCAUUAUGGUUUGAUAAAUAGCAGGUUUGUUUGUUUUUGGAAGCUAUGACAAAAAAUUUAUUUUAUAGGGAAU